GUUUAAACGCGGCGGCGUCCUCCUCCUCCGCGCUCGGAACUCCCCCCUCCCAUCUUCUCCGCCGUUGCCCAGCAACGCCGGGCCUGUAAGGCUUGUUUGGAGCCCAGCUGGAGUUCAUCAGAGGGAGGGCCGCGCCUUCUUCUUAGGCUUUUCUUAAUUUAUCUAUUUAUAUGUCCAUCUAUCUAGGUGUGUUAUGCUUUUGCCUGCAGUCGUAUAGGCUCUCCUCACUGUGGGAGUGAGGCCCACAGUGGGGCUUUACUUUACAUGACAGGGUGCCAGCUUUCCUUGAGCUGUGUGUCAGUUCAUUCCGACGUACCGUGCGCCCGUAUGCAUGCUUACUCACGUGUAAGGCCCACAAUGGGAUUUACGCCCGAAGCAAGGGGAAGGAAUACAGUCCUAUCCCGCUGGACAAGAGAAGAAAGAGAUAUUGUCUAAAACAUCACACAUCCUUAUCAGCCUAUUGCAUGUGUGAAGAAUGAGAAGGAGGGCUAUGAUGGUACUCCAGAACGUCUUCUCAAAGACCCUCCUGGGGCAUAGAAAGGACUCACUGAUUCUAUUGUGGCUGUGCAACAGUCUCCAGCAGCUAUACAGAUUGCAAGGGAGGAGAGUCUGACACAAAGCUAUACAUUUUAAAAUGUAUCUAAGCCAAAGAGUUUAAAGCUGAACUGCAAACCAUGGUUUUCACAAACUACUGACACCAAUUAUGACCAAGCAGCUGCUGCAGCAUGGAGACUGGAGUGAGACCAAUGAAGCUGAAUUCUGAGCAGAAAGAAGGAAGGAAAGCCACUCUAUACAGUUACACCUUGGUUCUUGAACGCCUUGAUACUCAUACUUUUUGGCUCCCGAACGCUGAAAACCCAGAAGUGUUCUGGUUUUCAAACUUUUUUCAGAAGCCAAAUAUCCGACACGGCUUCCACUUGAAUGCAGGAAGCUCCUGCAGCCAAUCGGAAGCCGCACCUUGGUUUUUUAACGUUUUGGAUGUUGAACGGACUUCCGGAACGGAUUACGUUUGAGAACGAAGGUAGAACUGUACCGUUGUUUUUAUUGUUGCACAUCUGGAAGUUCCAAUAAUGGCAUGGACUUUUAACUAGCUAGCAUAAACCAUGGCUUUGCCUUUACAUUUUUUUAAAAAGCCAAUGAAAACUGAAUUCUGUAAUAAAUUGUGCAAAUAACCA